UACGAAGGGGCAAGCGUUGUUCGGAAUUACUGGGCGUAAAGAGCGUGUAGGCGGCCUGACAGGUCUGCUGUGAAAACUCGAGGCUCAACCUCGAGAUGUCGGCGGAAACCGUCUGGCUAGAGUCCGGAAGAGGAGAGUGGAAUUCCUGGUGUAGCGGUGAAAUGCGCAGAUAUCAGGAAGAACACCAAUGGCGAAAGCAGCUCUCUGGGACGGUACUGACGCUGAUGCGCGAAAGCGUGGGGAGCAAACGGG
rnacentral:rRNA from 1 species